UAUCUCUCCGUACGGGGAAGGAUGAGAAGCUUCGACUAAGGUUCGAUUCGAGCGAAAGCGAGAGAACGUUGCCGUAGGCAACGACCCGAAGGGCGAAGCGCGCAGCGCUGAGUAAUCUCUCCCCCACCACCA
rnacentral:sRNA from 2 species